UUCUUUACGUUAAACUAAUAUUGUUGGUAUUCUCUUUUUUGAAUUCUAUUGAUUCAAUUAGCACUACAUUAAGACAUUGAUAUAAUUGCUUGGAAUGUAGAAAUGGGAAACUUUUGUAACUUUUCUGACAAUGGAAGGUAGUAUUCCUUAGUUACACAAGAUGGUGACUUGUCCUUUUCAAUACUACAACUUGGAUACAAAAAUCCAAAUUUGGGGACAGAAUGAUUCCCCACUUUGCAUGAUGCAAUUAAGAUCUCCAUAAAUCUAUAUCAUUGUUUUGGAUAAAAAUCUAUAAUUUAUAUAUAAUAAUAAAUAAAUUUG
rnacentral:lncRNA from 1 species